UACGUAGGGAGCAAGCGUUGUCCGGAAUCAUUGGGCGUAAAGCGCGCGUAGGUGGCCCCAUAAGUCCGCUGUGAAAGUCAAAGGCUCAACCUUUAAAAGCCGGUGGAUACUGCGGGACUAGAGUACGGAAGAGGCGAGUGGAAUUCCUGGUGUAGCGGUGGAAUGCGCAGAUAUCAGGAGGAACACCAAUAGCGAAGGCAGCUCGCUGGGACGUUACUGACACUGAGGCGCGAAAGCGUGGGGAGCGAACAGG
rnacentral:rRNA from 1 species